GGUAAGUCGGUGCGGGCAGCGGCGGGAAUACGGGGGGUGCGGGGGUUGAUGGGAAGGAUUGGGCGUAAAGGGCGGGUAGGCGGCGUCGUGGUGCCCAGGUGAAAGCCCUCGGCUGAACCGAGGAACUGCAGGGGAAACUGCGGAGCUGGAGUCCGGGAGAGGAGAGCGGAAGUCCCAGUGGAGCGGUGAAAUGCGUAGAUAUUGGGAGGAACACCAGUGGCGAAGGCGGCUCUCUGGACCGGUACUGACGCUGAGACGCGAAAGCCAGGGGAGCAAACGGGAUUAGAUCCCCGGGUAGUC
rnacentral:rRNA from 1 species